CAAAUCCUGGCUGUGUUAUUUAGUACCUGUGUGGCCUUGAGGGUACACCAGCGGCAACCAUUGCUUCUGAAGGAGAAUUUGACUUGUCCCUUGCAACUCUGCUCCUCCCUAUGUUUGAGAUACCCUUUCUUGACUGUAAAGGUAAUUCCAGGACUUUCAAGGAACUUCUGUGAAAUGAAUGAACAAAAGCAAGCGGAGGAACUCUACAAACACCUGGAGGCGCUCCGUGAAAAGGAAAAAGAAAGAAGGACGUGCAACAGGAUCAUACACUUGGAGCUGUCCGGGGCCUUAGAGGUCAUAGUAUCAAAUAGAAGGUGCAGACCCUCAGCCUCAGAGGGGAGGUGCUCUGUGCAGAGGGGUGCAAUAAGGAGGCCCCAGGAUAAGGUACGACUACCAGAUGAGUAGUAGUAUGUGAUUCGGAGCUGGGAGCGAACUUGGAGAUCUUCUAAUUCAACCUCCUCAUUUUACAGAAGAGGAAACUGAGGCCCAGAGAGUCGCUUAUGAUCAUGGACAUAAGUUGUCCUUUGUUCUCAAAGAGGACCAAAAUGAUAUCACUCUGUUGGGGUCCAGGUACAGUGUGUCCAACUGUGGCUUAUCAGACCAAGAUGAGCUCAGAAGGCUCUCCCCCAGGUCAGGCACAAAUAAAUAGUCCGCGUGAAUAUUUUGAGUGGAGAUGUCUCUAAAUGUGCACAUCCCAUCUUA